GCAAUAUUAAUGGGAGUGAGUUAGCAUUAGUACAGUAGCAUUUGAAAAUGUCUCGGAUGGUGCUCAUGGAAAGCGGGUAAACAAAGAAUGAACGACGAAGGACAAAGAUGGGAGAAAAGCCAAUGUAAAAUGUGAAUGAGGGACAAUGCUCGGAUGGUGCUCAUGGAAAGCGGGUAAACAAAGAAUGAACGAUGAAGGACAAAGAUGGGAGAAAAGCCAAUGUAAAAUGUGAAUGAGGGACAAUGCGCAGUCGUCAGAGCAAGUGC